UUUUUUAUUUGAAAUAAUGUCCGGGAUCAUCCACAAGAUUGAGGAGACCCUCCAUGUGGGAGGGCACAAGAAAGAGGAGCACAAAGGAGAACACCAUGGUGAGCACAAAGGUGAACACAAAGGAGAACACCAUGGUGAGCACAAAGGUGAACACAAAGGAGAACAACACCAUGGGGAGCACAAGGAGGGACUUGUGGAUAAGAUCAAGGACAAGAUCCAUGGUGAUGGCCAUGACAAGGGUG
rnacentral:lncRNA from 1 species